GAAUGCAGACAGGAACGGGGAAACCACCGCCUGGUCCACAGGCACCGGAGGUUCCACUCCUUGGGGUGAAGUCGGAGAAAUCCGACAGAGCAUAUCCUCCGCUCUAACCCGACAGCUAACCUCGACGGCGACAAAUGAGAGGAA
rnacentral:sRNA from 1 species